AAGUCGUAACAAGGUUUCCGUAGGUGAACCUGCGGAAGGAUCAUUAUUGAUUGGCUUCGGCCUUUUUCUAUAUACACACCUGUGCACCAUGGCGUUCGCGCCUAUUUUACAAACAACAGUGUACGAGCGUGUCUUAUUUUAACAAAAUAAA
rnacentral:misc_RNA from 1 species